rnacentral:rRNA from 1 species
AGAGUUUGAUCCUGGCUCAGAACGAACGCUGGCGGCGCGUCUUAAGCAUGCAAGUCGAACGGCAAGAGAGGAGCUUGCUUCUCUCCUAGAGUGGCGGACUGGUGAGGAACACGUGGGUAAUCUACCCUUAAGAUGGGGAUAGCUGCUAGAAAUAGCAGGUAAUACCGAAUACACUCGGCAUAUCACAAGAGAUGUUGAGGAAAGGAAGCUACGGCUUCGCUUGAGGAUGAGCUUGCGUCCCAUUAGCUAGUUGGUGAGGUAAAGGCCCACCAAGGCGACGAUGGGUAUCCGGCCUGAGAGGGUGAACGGACACAUUGGGACUGAGAUACGGCCCAAACUCCUACGGGAGGCAGCAGCUAAGAAUAUUCCGCAAUGGACGAAAGUCUGACGGAGCGACGCCGCGUGGAUGAAGAAGGCUGAAAAGUUGUAAAAUCCUUUUGUUGAUGAAGAAUAAGGGUGAGAGGGAAUGCUCAUCUGAUGACGGUAAUCGACGAAUAAGCCCCGGCUAAUUACGUGCCAGCAGCCGCGGUAACACGUAAGGGGCGAGCGUUGUUCGGAAUUAUUGGGCGUAAAGGGCAUGUAGGCGGCUAUGUAAGCCUGAUGUGAAAUCCUGGGGCUUAACCCUAGAAUAGCAUUGGGUACUGUAUAGCUUGAAUUACGGAAGGGAAACUGGAAUUCCAAGUGUAGGGGUGGAAUCUGUAGAUAUUUGGAAGAACACCGGUGGCGAAGGCGGGUUUCUGGCCGAUAAUUGACGCUGAGAUGCGAAAGUGUGGGGAUCGAACAGGAUUAGAUACCCUGGUAGUCCACACUGUAAACGAUGUACACUAGGUGUUGGGGCAAGAGCUUCAGUGCCAAAGCAAACGCGAUAAGUGUACCGCCUGGGGAGUAUGCCCGCAAGGGUGAAACUCAAAGGAAUUGACGGGGGCCCGCACAAGCGGUGGAGCAUGUGGUUUAA